rnacentral:rRNA from 1 species
AGGGUUUGAUCAUGGCUCAGAACGAACGCUGGCAGCGUGGAUUAGGCAUGCAAGUCGAACGGGAUCCGGGAGGUAGCAAUACCGGCCGGUGAGAGUGGCGGAAGGGCGAGGAGCACGUGGACAACCUGUCCCGUGGGUGGGGAUACCGUCCCGAAAGGGGCGUUAAUACCGAAUGGGGCCCCGGACCGCAUGGUCCGGCGGCCAAAGGCGGGGACCGCAAGGCCCGCCCCCCCGGGAGGGGUCCGCGCACCAUCAGCUAGACGGCGGGGUAACGGCCCACCGUGGCUUACGGUUAGCUGGUCUGAGAGGACGACCAGCCGCACUGGGACUGAGACACUGCCCAGACUCCUACGGGAGGCUGCAGUCGAGGAUCAUUCGCAAUGGGCGAAAGCCUGACGAUGCGACGUUGCGUGGAGGAUGAAGGCCUUCGGGUCGUAAACUCCUGUCAUGGGGGGCGAGGCGGAGGCGGUUAACGGCCGCCCGAGUUGACGGUACCCCAAGAGGAAGCCACGGCUAACUCUGUGCCAGCAGCCGCGGUAAUACAGAGGUGGCGAGCGUUGUUCGGAUUUACUGGGCGUAAAGGGCGCGUAGGCGGCCGCGUGUGUGGGGUGUGAAAUCUCCGGGCUCAACCCGGAAAGUGCGCUCCAAACUGCGCGGCUCGAGUGCGGGAGGGGAGAUCGGAAUGCAGGGUGUAGCGGUGAAAUGCGUUUGAUAUCCUGCAGAACACCGGUGGCGAAGGCGGAUCUCUGGAACGCAACUGACGCUGAGGCGCGAAAGCAGGGGGAGCAAACAGGAUUUAGAUACCGUGGUAGUCCCUGCCCUAACGGUGCACGCUUGAG